rnacentral:tRNA from 1 species
UGGGGUGUAGCUCAGUGGUAGAGCACUUGUCUAGCAUAUGUGAAGUUCUGGGUUCAAUUCUCAGCACCCAAC